CUUUUUCUUUUCUGAUUUUAAAAACCUUUAAAGGAGACCCAUUUUUCUUCAGGUAAUAAUAUAGAAAAGGCUGUCUUGACAAGGAUAAAUUUCCAGGACUUUACUUUUUGUAGGGAUAGACUAAAGGCUGGUAUUAUUGCUUAUAAAAGUGUCUUGAACUUCAUGAAGCUUAUGUUGAGAAAUAAGGCUUAUAUAUUUUAUUUUUGUGUUUUACUUUCAUUUUUUCACCAACUUAUUGAAGUCCUUUCAUAGACCCUAAUUCUCUUCUUGAAGGUAUAUCAAGCUGAAAAGUCCUUUCUGGUGAAUGGAAUGUGAUGGAAGUGACCAUGUGUGACUUCUGAGUCUAGGUCAUAAAAGAUUUUGUCACUUAUGCUUUGUUUUUUCCUAAGCCACUCACUCUGGAAGAAACCAGCAGCUAUUUGGUGAGAACAAUCAAGCAGCCCUACAAAAAUAUCUAUGUGGAGAGAACCUGAGGCCUCAAUUACAAACCCCACCAACUUGCAGGCCAUGAAUGUUAGCAAACUUGAAGGUGGAUCUUCUAGUUUCGGUCAAGCCUUGGAUGACAGCCCCAAUUGAAAUCUGACUGUAACCACAUGAGAUGUCCUGAGGCACAACCACCAUGAUAAAUUGUUCUUGAAUUUCUCAUAUACAGAAACUCAAUUAGGUGGCAGCCUUGACUAUGUGCACCGCCCAUGAAGGUCGCCUUUGCCUUGCUUUUCCUGACUUGUCAAGUGCAUGAUGAUGUGGGCUGCUGUGGUUUUUUGGGGGUCCACUCUGGACCCUAGUCGCCUCAGUCUCUCCUGCACCUGGAGGUAUCACCAGUGAAGUCUGCGAAACAGCAAUGAUGGCAGCCUG